rnacentral:rRNA from 1 species
AUUGAACGCUGGCGGCAGGCCUAACACAUGCAAGUCGAACGGUAACAGGAAGCAGCUUGCUGCUUCGCUGACGAGUGGCGGACGGGUGAGUAAUGUCUGGGAAGCUGCCUGAUGGAGGGGGAUAACUACUGGAAACGGUAGCUAAUACCGCAUAAUGUCGCAAGACCAAAGAGGGGGACCUCCGGGCCUCUUGCCAUCGGAUGUGCCCAGAUGGGAUUAGCUUGUUGGUGGGGUAACGGCUCACCAAGGCGACGAUCCCUAGCUGGUCUGAGAGGAUGACCAGCCACACUGGAACUGAGACACGGUCCAGACUCCUACGGGAGGCAGCAGUGGGGAAUAUUGCACAAUGGGCGCAAGCCUGAUGCAGCCAUGCCGCGUGUAUGAAGAAGGCCUUCGGGUUGUAAAGUACUUUCAGCGGGGAGGAAGGGAGUAAAGUUAAUACCUUUGCUCAUUGACGUUACCCGCAGAAGAAGCACCGGCUAACUCCGUG